GAGGUCAGUGGUUCUCAAAGGAUGAUCCAUU
rnacentral:piRNA from 1 species